AUGGCGAUCAGGAACGUGACGGCGGCGACCCGGUCGCUGGACGGUGACAUGACGGUGGACGAGUUCAAGGAGUGGCUCCGGCGGUUCGACGUGGACCGCGACGGCCGCAUCAGCCGCGACGAGCUGCGGUGCGCGAUGCGCACCAUCCGGACGCGCUUCUCGGGGUACAAGAGCAAGCGCGGCAUCGAGUACGCCGACGCCGACGGCGACGGCUACGUCGACGACGGCGAGGUGGACGGGCUCAUCGAGUACGCGCAGAAGAGCCUCGGGCUCAGGAUCGUCGCCUACUAG
rnacentral:rRNA from 1 species